UAAAUUGAGAGUUUGAUCCUGGCUCAGGACGAACGCUGGCGGCGUGCUUAACACAUGCAAGUCGAGCGAUGAAAUCCCUUCGGGGAUGGAUUAGCGGCGGACGGGUGAGUAACACGUGGGUAACCUGCCUCAAAGUGGGGGAUAGCCUUCCGAAAGGAAGAUUAAUACCGCAUAAUAUCUAAUUGCCGCAUGGCAGAUAGAUUAAAGGAGCAAUUCGCUUUGAGAUGGACCCGCGGCGCAUUAGCUAGUUGGUGAGGUAACGGCUCACCAAGGCGACGAUGCGUAGCCGACCU
rfam:Clostridium proteolyticum DSM 3090 genome assembly, contig: EJ39DRAFT_scaffold00015.15